rnacentral:tRNA from 1 species
GUUUUAAUGUCCUUGGGUUAGAGCGUAAGUCUCGUAACCGAAAGGUCGCGGGAUCGAAUCCCGCUAGAGGCU